GAAGAAGGCCUUCGGGUCGUAAAGCUCUGUCCAGGGGGAAGAAGAAAGUGACGGUACCCCUGGAGGAAGCCCCGGCUAACUACGUGCCAGCAGCCGCGGUAACACGUAGGGGGCGAGCGUUGUCCGGAAUUACUGGGCGUAAAGCGCGCGUAGGCGGCUUAGCAAGUCAGAGGUGAAAACCGGCGGCUCAACCGCAGGCUUGCCUCUGAAACUGCGAGGCUUGAGGACAGGAGAGGGGAGUGGAAUUCCCAGUGUAGCGGUGAAAUGCGUAGAUAUUGGGAGGAACACCAGUGGCGAAGGCGGCUCCCUGGCCUGCACCUGACGCUGAGGCGCGAAAGCGUGGGGAUCAAACAGGAUUAGAUACCCUGGUAGUCCACGCCGUAAACGAUGGGUGCUA
rnacentral:rRNA from 1 species